rnacentral:rRNA from 1 species
GAUGAACGCUGACAGAAUGCUUAACACAUGCAAGUCCACUUGAACUUCGGUUUGGGUGGCGGCCGGGUGAGUAACGCGUACAGAACUUGCCUCACAGCUAGGGACAACAUUUGGAAACGAAUGCUAAUACCUGAUAUUAUGAUUAUAUGGCAUCGUAUAAUUAUGAAAGCUAUAUGCGCUGUGAGAGAGCUUUGCGUCCCAUUAGCUAGUUGGAGAGGUAACAGCUCACCAAGGCGAUGAUGGGUAGCCGGCCUGAGAGGGUGAUCGGCCACAAGGGGACUGAGACACGGCCCUUACUCCUACGGGAGGCAGCAGUGGGGAAUAUUGGACAAUGGACCGAGAGUCUGAUCCAGCAAUUCUGUGUGCACGAUGAAGUUUUUCGGAAUGUAAAGUGCUUUCAGUUGGGAAGAAAAAAAUGACGGUACCAACAGAAGAAGUGACGGCUAAAUACGUG